rnacentral:rRNA from 1 species
UACGAAGGGGGCUAGCGUUGUUCGGAAUUACUGGGCGUAAAGCGCGCGCAGGCGGUCCUUUAAGUCAGGGGUGAAAGCCCAGAGCUCAACUCUGGAACUGCCUUUGAAACUAGAGGACUUGGGUACGGGAGAGGUGAGUGGAAUUCCGAGUGUAGAGGUGAAAUUCGUAGAUAUUCGGAAGAACACCAGUGGCGAAGGCGGCUCACUGGCCCGUUACCGACGCUCAGGCGCGACAGCGUGGGGAGCAAACAGG